GAUUAGAAUCUCUGACUUGAAAAUAAGUUCUUCUUGAUCCAAGACGCAUUGUACCACCCAUAUGCGUUUUUGAACCCUCCGGCAUGAAAAUUACACAAGGAUUCGGAGUGUUGGGAUCAAACUCUGUACUGUUCGCAUCUUGCAACCCAAGAAUAGAUCUAGCAUACUCAAUAACAGCAAUUUGCAUGCCUAAACAUAUGCCCAGGUAAGGAAUCCUGUUUUCACGUGCGUAUUUGGCAGCAAGUAUUUUACCCUCCACACCUCUAUCACCAAAU
rnacentral:misc_RNA from 1 species